CACGUAGUUAGCCGUGGCUUUCUGAUUAGGUACCGUCAAGAUGUGCACAGUUACUUACACAUUUGUUCUUCCCUAACAACAGAGUUUUACGAUCCUAAGACCUUCAUCACUCACGCGGCGUUGCUCCGUCAGGCUUUCGCCCAUUGCGGAAGAUUCCCUACUGCUGCCUCCCGUAGGAGUCUGGACCGUGUCUCAGUUCCAGUGUGGCCGAUCACCCUCUCAGGUCGGCUACGUAUCGUUGCCUUGGUAAGCCGUUACCUUACCAACUAGCUAAUACGGCGCGGGUCCAUCUAUAAGUGACAGCCGAAACCGUCUUUCAACAUUGAACCAUGCGGUUCAAUAUAUUAUCCGGUAUUAGCCCCGGUUUCCCGGAGUUAUCCCAGUCUUAUAGGUAGGUUACCCACGUGUUACUCACCCGUCCGCCGCUAACAUCAGAGAAGCAAGCUUCUCAUCUGUUCGCUCGACUUGCAUGUAUUAGGCACGCCGCCAGCGUUCAUCCUGAGCCAGGAUA
rnacentral:rRNA from 1 species